rnacentral:rRNA from 1 species
AUUGAACGCUGGCGGCAGGCCUAACACAUGCAAGUCGAACGGUAACAGGAAGAAGCUUGCUUCUUUGCUGACGAGUGGCGGACGGGUGAGUAAUGUCUGGGAAACUGCCUGAUGGAGGGGGAUAACUACUGGAAACGGUAGCUAAUACCGCAUAAUGUCGCAAGACCAAAGAGGGGGACCUUCGGGCCUCUUGCCAUCGGAUGUGCCCAGAUGGGAUUAGCUAGUAGGUGGGGUAAAGGCUCACCUAGGCGACGAUCCCUAGCUGGUCUGAGAGGAUGACCAGCCACACUGGAACUGAGACACGGUCCAGACUCCUACGGGAGGCAGCAGUGGGGAAUAUUGCACAAUGGGCGCAAGCCUGAUGCAGCUAUGCCGCGUGUAUGAAGAAGGCCUUCGGGUUGUAAAGUACUUUCAGCGGGGAGGAAGGGAGUAAAGUUAAUACCUUUGCUCAUUGACGUUACCCGCAGAAGAAGCACCGGCUAACUCCGUG